UUUGUCAAGGAUUGGGAAUGUGAAAUCAGAGUUAGACCAUUACUUAGAUGAACCUGUCUUGCCACGCACCAUGGAUUUUAACAUUUUAAAUUGGUGGGAUGCAAAUAAGAGUAAGUAUCCUACAUUGCAGCUGAUGGCUCGAGACAUCUUGGCUAUUCCAGUAUCAACUGUCGCAUCUGAAUCAGCAUUUAGUACAAGUGGUAGGUUGGUGAGUCCACAUCGCAGUCGACUUAGUCCUGGCCUUAUAGAGGCUUUGAUGUGUUCUCAAUCUUGGUUGUGGAAUGAUCUAGAAGCAAAUGCAUCGGCGUCAACUCUUUCUGCUGGAAUCUCUCGGUUAACAAUCUGUGAUGAAGAAAAAGAUUAAAAGGCUUCAAGACUUAGGAGAGUGCAGUGUUAUAGUUGAUAGUUACAGAAGAUAUUGAGCGUGAAAAAGAUGCAGAAAUUUGUGUGGAACACCAGACCUUAUCAAUUAGUAGUAGACACCAAUCUGUCUCUAUAGGAGCAGCGGUUUUGAUUAAUUCAUGAACACUGUGGAAGACAUGGGAGAUUGCAAAUGCCAAUAGAUCAUUUAAGGGAUUUAAAUCAGUUUUUGUGUUUUUGUUAUCUUUUGUUAAUUUUAGACUUCAAUUUUGAAUAAUUUGGGAUGUAAACUUGCUUUUGUUUUGGUUAUGGUGGAAAG